AGCUCUGUGGUGUAGUGGUCCAGCACGCCGAUCCUGAGAUACGAAAGCGCGGGUUCGGUUCCGCUGGGGCAA